CCUACGGGUGGCUGCAGUGGGGAAUAUUGGGCAAUGGGCGCAAGCCUGACCCAGCAACGCCGCGUGAAGGAAGAAGGCUUUCGGGUUGUAAACUUCUUUUGUCAGGGAAGAGCAGAAGACUGUACCUGACGAAUAAGCUCCGGCUAACUACGUGCCAGCAGCCGCGGUAAUACGUAGCGAGCAAGCGUUGUCCGGAUUUACUGGGUGUAAAGGGCGUGUAGGCGGGAUUGCAAGUCAGAUGUGAAAUUCCGGGGCUCAACCCCGGAACUGCAUUUGAAACUGUAGUUCUUGAGUACUGGAGAGGCAGGCGGAAUUCCUAGUGUAGCGGUGAAAUGCGUAGAUAUUAGGAGGAACACCAGUGGCGAAGGCGGCCUGCUGGACAGCAACUGACGCUGAGGCGCGAAAGCGUGGGGAGCAAACAGGAUUAGAUACCCCAGUAGUC
rnacentral:rRNA from 1 species